GACAAACGCUGGCGGCGUGCUUAACACAUGCAAGUCGAACGAGAUGGCCCAGUGAAAGUUGCGUGCUUGCACAAGACUGGAUCUGGAUCACCAUCUAGUGGCAGACGGGUGAGUAACACGUGGGUGACCUACCCUUUCGUUGGGGAUAACAGUUGGAAAGGAAGAUUAAUACCGCAUAAUAUUGUGGUUUCGCAUGAAACAACAAUUAAAGAUUUAUCGCUAUAAGAUGGACCCGCGGCGCAUUAGCUAGUUGGUGGGGUAACGGCCUACCAAGGCGACGAUGCGUAGCCGACCUGAGAGGGUGAUCGGCCACAUUGGGACUGAGACACGGCCCAGACUCCUACGGGAGGCAGCAGUGGGGAAUAUUGCACAAUGGGGGAAACCCUGAUGCAGCAACGCCGCGUGAGUGAUGACGGUCUUCGGAUUGUAAAAGCUCUGUCUUUAGGGACGAUAAUGACGGUACCUAAGGAGGAAGCCACGGCUAACUACGUGCUAG
rnacentral:rRNA from 1 species